AUGGGGCCAGGAGGAUACCGCCUUUCGGAGCCUAGGUGGCAGAAGAUGGAGGAGGACCUGAGGGUGCGAGGAAUCCCUCUAGGUACAGAGGGAUGGGACCCAAGGGCCAAAAGCUGGUGGUACGGGCAUGGGGGAUCGCUAGACCCGGAGACAGGGGUGUGUGUUCACCGGCAGAGACAGUUUGCUCCCACCCAAGCCCUUAUUGACGCAAUGACCCAAGCUCAAGAGGGCUUGAUCAAGUUCAACAGAGAGAAAGACGCACUGACAACAGCCCUCGGGAAUGAUGAACACGGAGGACGUGUACGAGGCAAAGGCAAAGUUCCGUGGAAAGUAGGGUUUUCCCAGGACAAUGACCCGUACUGUUACAGAAGCCGUAAGAGAAAGACGAACCGGGAUGCAGAUCUUAUGACGAAGUUUGCAUCGGAACUCCAUGAGUUGAAGCAGACCGUGCAUGAACUAGUAAAAGAAAAAUCGGCUGCAGGGCCGCAUGAAGAUCAUGAAGCGGAUCGCGGAAGCCAGCAGCGGAGAAGCAGCGUGGCUUCCACGGAUGCCCCGCCUGGUGCUAGUGCACCGAUGAUCGAGAUUCGUGCACCGGAGCCUCACUACCCCGUGGAUGAUGUAAAGGAGAUGAAAGAAUGUGAUCUGCAUUAUCCCGUGGGGAACGUUUCCACGAAGGUAGCUAGCGGCAGUGCUUUACCCUGUACACCUGGAGCACUCCACCACAACAACCCCAUUGCAUAUGGCUAUGCUCGUGUCACGGUGGAAGACAUAGUCCAAGGGUUUGAGGACCUGGAGAUUGACAAAGCUACACCCGAAGGGGAGUGA
rnacentral:rRNA from 1 species